AGUGAACGUUGGCGGCGUGGAUUAGGCAUGCAAGUCGAGCGAGAGCCGUAGCAAUACGGGGACAGCGGCGAAAGGGACAGUAAUGUGUAGGUACCUACCUCCGGGUUCGGGAUAGCUGCGGGAAACUGCAGGUAAUACCGAAUAACGUCUCCGGACCAAAGGUGUGAUUCCACCUGGAGGGGGGCCUGCAUCCUAUUAGCUAGUUGGGGAGGGAACGGCUCACCAAGGCGACGAUGGGUAGCGGGUGUGAGAGCACGACCCGCGUCAUUGGGACUGAGACACUGCCCAGACACCUACGGGUGGCUGCAGUCGAGGAUCUUCGGCAAUGGGCGCAAGCCUGACCGAGCGACGCCGCGUGCGGGAUGAAGGCCUUCGGGUUGUAAACCGCUGUCGUAGAGGAGGAAAUGCAGGGGGGUUCUCCCCUCUGUUUGACCUAUUCUAGGAGGAAGGACGGGCUAAGUUCGUGCCAGCCGCCGCAGUAA
rnacentral:rRNA from 1 species